rnacentral:tRNA from 1 species
UGAGGAUAUAGCUGAGUGGAAGAGUGCUUACCUAGCAUGCGCAAGACCCUGGCUUCAAUCCCCAGUACCACAA